GACGAACGCUGGCGGCGUGCUUAACACAUGCAAGUCGAACGGAAAGGCCCUGCUUGCAGGGUACUCGAGUGGCGAACGGGUGAGUAACACGUGGGUGAUCUGCCCUGCACUUCGGGAUAAGCCUGGGAAACUGGGUCUAAUACCGGAUAGGAGCCAUUUUUAGUGUGAUGGUUGGAAAGUUUUUUCGGUGUAGGAUGAGCUCGCGGCCUAUCAGCUUGUUGGUGGGGUAAUGGCCUACCAAGGCGGCGACGGGUAGCCGGCCUGAGAGGGUGGACGGCCACAUUGGGACUGAGAGACGGCCCAGACUCCUACGGGAGGCAGCAGUGGGGAAUAUUGCACAAUGGGCGCAAGCCUGAUGCAGAGACGCCGCGUGGGGGAUGACGGCCUUCGGGUUGUAAACUCCUUUCGCUAGGGACGAAGCUUUUUGUGACGGUACCUAGAUAAGAAGCACCGGCUAACUACGUG
rnacentral:rRNA from 1 species